CAGUCGCCGCGGGAAAACGAAGGGGGCUAGCGUUGUUCGGAAUUACUGGGCGUAAAGCGCACGUAGGCGGAUACUUAAGUCAGGGGUGAAAUCCCGGGGCUCAACCCCGGAACUGCCUUUGAUACUGGGUAUCUCGAGUCCGGAAGAGGUGAGUGGAAUUCCGAGUGUAGAGGUGAAAUUCGUAGAUAUUCGGAGGAACACCAGUGGCGAAGGCGGCUCACUGGUCCGGUACUGACGCUGAGGUGCGAAAGCGUGGGGAGCAAACAGGAUUAGAUACCCCUGUAGUCCCUGUCUCUUAUAU
rnacentral:rRNA from 1 species